rnacentral:rRNA from 1 species
CCAGACUCCUACGGGAGGCAGCAGUAGGGAAUCUUCGGCAAUGGACGAAAGUCUGACCGAGCAACGCCGCGUGAGUGAAGAAGGUUUUCGGAUCGUAAAACUCUGUUGGUAGAGAAGAACGUUGGUGAGAGUGGAAAGCUCAUCAAGUGACGGUAACUACCCAGAAAGGGACGGCUAACUACGUGCCAGCAGCCGCGGUAAUACGUAGGUCCCGAGCGUUGUCCGGAUUUAUUGGGCGUAAAGCGAGCGCAGGUGGUUUAUUAAGUCUGGUGUAAAAGGCAGUGGCUCAACCAUUGUAUGCAUUGGAAACUGGUAGACUUGAGUGCAGGAGAGGAGAGUGGAAUUCCAUGUGUAGCGGUGAAAUGCGUAGAUAUAUGGAGGAACACCGGUGGCGAAAGCGGCUCUCUGGCCUGUAACUGACACUGAGGCUCGAAAGCGUGGGGAGCAAACAGGAUUAGAUACCCUGGUAGUCCACGCCGUAAACGAUGAGUGCUAGAUGUAGGGAACUAUAAGUUCUCUGUAUCGCAGCUAACGCAAUAAGCACUCCGCCUGGGGAGUACGACCGCAAGGUUGAAACUCAAAGGAAUUGACGGGGGCCCGCACAAGAA